rnacentral:rRNA from 1 species
UACGUAGGGGGCAAGCGUUGUCCGGAAUCAUUGGGCGUAAAGCGCGUGUAGGCGGUUCAGUAAGUCUGCUGUGAAAGUCCAGGGCUCAACCCUGGGAUGCCGGUGGAUACUGUCGGGCUAGAGUGCGGAAGAGGCGAGUGGAAUUCCUGGUGUAGCGGUGAAAUGCGCAGAUAUCAGGAGGAACACCGAUUGCGAAGGCAGCUUGCUGGGACGGUACUGACGCUAAGGCGCGAAAGCGUGGGGAGCGAACAGG